ensembl:lncRNA
GGUUAAACACCUAAAGGAAGGAGCCUUCUGGAAUCUCCUCUGCACAAAAAAGAGGGCGUUCAGCUCAGCCACAGACUCUCCAGCUCCUCCUCCUUCUCUCCUGGGGGCUGCGCCAGAAGGAAUGGCCCCAUUGCCACUGAAUUCAUCCACUCCGGUCCUAAGACGUUCUGGGUAAACGGGAUGACAUUCCUAAGACUCCGGUCCUAAGAUGUUCUGGGUGGCUAACUGGAGAUGGUGAAGUAAGUGAACAGAAGAGAGCAUUACUUUCUGAAUUACGUUUUGGGCAGCGUUUAAACUACUGGCUGCCUGGACUUCUGGAUGCCAGAUUUAGAGAUCUGGGUGGUUCGUGCUGUCUUACUGCUUCUGCUAACCCCUGGAUGCCAGCGAGCAACACCUCACGACAAGACCCACGUCUCCUGCUCCUGCUUCUAAUUUAGAGACCAAAAGAACCAAAUGUUUGUCCUUUUCCUGCUCCUGACAAACCACUUUGAAAUUUCUUAAACCAGAGCUUCCUCAAGGACAAAAGCAGAGAGUUCUUGAAGACAUGAUGCUUUCUAUCUUUUGUAAAAAGCCUGAGCUUGAAACUGAGUAAGGAGAUCAUGAGGUGGAAGUGAUACCAUCUGAAGAGGAAGCCCCUUCAGAUCCAGAGGGAAUGAACUUGUGUGGCAGCUAGGACUACCAGGGCAGUGCCGGGCACGUAACAAGACCUGAAGACAUAGAGGCUCCAUUUGCCUAGGGAGGCUGAGCCCAGCCUUGCAAAUAGCUCUUGGACCCCAGAUUUGACAUGGGAGACACAGAGAGCCUCUUAGGAGACCACACAAGGAGCACAGAGCAAAGACCACAGCUUCCUGGUUAGGAUCCCUGAACUGCUCCAGUCCUGGAGGGGGAGGUGGGGACACCUGGGGUGGUCCUGGGGGAUGAGGUGGGGACACCCUGGGAUAGUUCUCAGUGGGUGACAUGGGGACACCCUGGGAUAGUUCUCAGU